GGGGGGAGGAGGGGCGGGGCGGGGAGGCGCGCGGCCCCGGGCGCUCCCGGGCGCUGUCGUCGCUCCCUGCUGCCGGCCCUGGGCCCCGGCUGCCAAGCCCUAGGUGGGUGCUCGAUCCAGGCUGAGCCCCAGGUCCCGCGGCCCGCGCGCCGCCGGAGACCAGACGUAGCCGUAGCCGAGCCGCUCUCCCGCCCGGCGCCUUGAAGGCCUCCCUACCAUAGAGGCCCACAACUCAUCAAAAAGGAUACACUGAGAGAAGCUGAGCCUGUCCCAGCACCCAGAAGGAAGCUCCCCUGCCGCCAUCCCACACUCCUAGGGCAGAGAAAGUGACCCAGGUGGGCACCAGAAGCACCCCCACACACACACUGUGGAAAUGAGAAGACAUGUAAACAAGCCUCAAAAACAGACUUCUGGAUCACCUACAACAACCCCAAAGGGAAACGAGAUGGAACAAUCUGAUAUUCAACCACCUGGACACUCUGAACUGGCAACAAAAGAGGAUCUGGGAAAAACAAAAUCAGAAAUAAUUUCUCAGAUGACAACAAAGAUGGUGCUCAUAGUGCAAGACAUGAUUAAUAAAUCUAGAGAGGACACAUAAAAAAAUAGAGGACCUGAGGAACAUGAUGGAAUCCCAACAUAGGAAACAAAUGGAAUCCAUAAAACAGAUGCAAACAGAUUUCCAGGAGAUUAAAAACUCCAUCGAAAGUCUGUGCAGAAGAAUGAACCAAUGUGAGGAUAGAAUUUCAGAUAUAGAAGAUAAGAUUGCAAUUAGUGACCAAGAAAAGAAAAAUUGCUUUAAAAUUGUAAGGGAAUAGGAGAAAUCAAUCCAGCACCUGCUAGACGAUGCAAAGAAGAAUAACAUAAAACUGACUGGAGUCAAUGAAGAAACAGGAGAGAGUGCAGCUGACAUAAAAAGACUGCUCACAGAAGUGAUGGUAGAAAACUUCCCAAGCAGGGGAAAAGAACUUGACAUACAGAUAAGUGAGGCAUAUAGGACUCCAGCUAGCCUUGAUCAAAAAAAUCUACACAUAGGCAUAUCAUAGUUAGGAUUCCAGAAACCCAACAGAAGAACAAAAUUCUACAAGCAGUGAGAGAAAAGAAACAAAUCGCGUACAAAGGAAAGCCCAUCAGAAUCACAGCAGACUUCUCAAUGCAAACCCUCAAGGCAAGAAGACCUUGGAGUAUGUGUUUCAAGCCCUAAAGGAAAACAGCCUCCAACCCAGAUUGAUGUACCCUGCAAAACUAUCUUUCAAAAUUGAGGGAGAAAUAAGAUACUUUCAUGAUAAAGAGCACCUCGGGAACUUCAUGAAUACCAAACCAGCACUCCAAAAAAUUUUAGACAAUACCCUAGGAAAAGACAAUGAGGAUCACAACCCCAGGAAGCCCAGCAAAAUGAGUCCAUUGGGUGUGACAAAUUAAAUGCAAAGGGAGAGAAUCCAAGAAAAAGAAAGAGUCGUGACAAGGCUUUUAAAACUUUUAACUUCAUCUCCCUAAUGAGUGUAUAAUUCAAUCUUGUUAUUGUACUGAUUAGUAUUUUUCUGAUUCUAGAGUUGCACACCUUUCCUUGUGCUGUACUGGCUAUUUAUCAUCUUCUUAUGUCUACAUUUUAAUUGGAUUGUCUAUUAAUGAGCUGUAAGAGUUCUUUAUAUAUUCUGGUCAUAGGUUAUAUGCACUGUAAAUAUGGUCUGUUUAAGGACUACUUUUCAUUUUAAUGAUGUCAUUUAAAGUUCUAAAUUUUGAUGGAAUCUCAUUUAUCAGUUUUUUUCUUUUAUACAUCAUUUUUUGUAUCCCAGGUAGUUCUUGCCUGAAUUCAUAAAUAUUUUCC
rnacentral:lncRNA from 1 species